GUGCUCUGCCCAAUCACAGCAGCCCACGGAGGAGCGGACGGGACCUUUAGCGACCAGCCACGUCAGGAAGCUCGUGAGGUCCGGCUCAAGCGAUCGUGGGGAAGAGUGCAAGCAGAUCCAUGAAAAAUUGAGUGGAAGGAAAAGAAUGAAGUAUUCAGACUCACUGUGUGGGACUCCAGCUCAGAGAUCUUCUCUGGUUGACCCGACCCAAAG